rnacentral:misc_RNA from 1 species
CGAGUUCUUAAAAGAAACAAGGCAUCCAAAUAUGAUUAAAGUUGACACUGUUUUGUUAGCUCUGUGCAUGAAAGUUUGAGUUGCCAGCAACAGAAUGUGAUAGUGAUUGCUGAUUUUGGCUUUGUCUCAGGUUUUUGGUAUUUGGGUUGUUCUUGUUUUCUUCUAAUUGGCUCUGUAUUUUCCCCAGAGUUAUUUUGCUCACUACACAAUUUUGGUCCCAUGGCUAGAGGUCAGAGAACAAAAGGACUCAGCAAGUCUUGCCUUCUGCUCAUAGUGAUAGCUGGUAUCGAGAGGUUUGCUUUCAAAGGGGUGGCAUCAAAUUUGGUAACUUAUCUCACAGAUGUAGUUAAGAUGAGCAAUUCUGAUGCAGCCAAGACUGUUAAUAAUUGGUGUGGAUUCACAUCCAUGUUACCACUUUUAGUUGCAUCUCUUGCUGAUUCUUUUUGGGACAAGUAUCCUACCAUCUUAGCCUCUUCUUUCUUCUAUGUAGUGGGACUUGUGGCAUUGACAUCAACAGCUUUGACUUGGGCAUGGUAUCCCUCCAACAACCUAAGCUCUUCAUUCCUGUUUUGGUCUCUCUGUUUGAUCUCACUAGGCCAAGGUGCAUACAACCCAUCUUUACAAGCCUUUGGAGCAGAUCAACUUGAAAGUGACGAUGAACUUCCUUGCACAAAAGAUGACCAUAAGUCAGAUAAAAAGAGUAUGUUCUUUCAAUGGUGGUAUUUUGGUGUUUGUGGUGGCAGCCUCUUAGGUGUCACAGUCAUGUCCUAUAUCCAAGACACGUUUGGCUGGGUUCUGGGAUUUGCUAUCCCAACAAUUUCAAUGGUUACUUCAAUUAAAUUAUUCUGGUGUGGUGGCAGAAUGUAUGUAUAUAAACAGGAUGGUAAUAACAUCGGUAAAAGCCCUUUUCAAAGUUUUGUUCAGGCGAUUAAAGAAACUGCAUCAAAAUUAAUCAAUAGCAGAAUCAAAUUAUCAAGCAGCAACUCUGAAGUUGUUGAGCUAGAGCUCCAGGAGAAACCUCUUUGUCCUGAGAAUUUAGGCAAGGUCAAUGGCUUGAAUGACAACUCCAGGAAUGGCAUUUAUCCUCUUGAAAAUGCAAAAGUUGUACUAAGGCUUGUGCCUAUGUGGACAAUGCUCCUGAUGUUUGCAGUCAUUUUUCAACAACCUGCCACAUUCUUUACCAAGCAAGGUGUGACAAUGAAGAGGAAUAUUGGCAGCAAUUUCAAGAUCCCUCCGGCUACACUGCAGAGUGCUAUUACAGUGUCUAUAAUCCUUUUGAUGCCACUAUAUGAUAGAAUUUUUAUCCCAAUUGCACGUAUCAUAACUCGUGACCAAAAGGGUAUCAAUGUAAUGCAAAGAAUGGGGAUUGGAAUGGUCCUGUCUAUAAUAGCUAUGGUGAUUGCUGCACUGGUUGAAACAAAAAGGCUUGAGAUGAGCAAAAGAAUGCCCCAUUCUGAAACAGUUCCGCUGAGCAUAAUUUGGCUGCUACCUCAGUACAUUCUGCUAGGCAUUUCAGACAUCUUCACAGUUGUUGGGAUGCAAGAGUUUUUCUACAGUGAAGUUCCUGGAAGCAUGAAGACUAUGGGGAUUGCACUGUAUACUAGCGUAUUUGGAGUAGGAAGUUUCUUGAGUACCCUGUUGAUUUCUCUGGUAGAAAUUUUCACCAGAUCAAGAGGGAGGCAGAGCUGGUUCUCUGACGACAUGAGAGAAGUUCACCUGGACAAAUACUACUGGCUUCUAGCCUCGUUAAGUGCACUGAGCAUGCUAUUUUAUGUCAUUUUGUGCAAAUUUCACGGAAGUAGGAGUGAAUUGGAUAGUGAGAACUGUAAAUGAUAUGUUUGUUUUAAAUUUUCAUGCAGUUUUUGUCUAAAGAAUUUCUUCGCUCCACUGUAUAAAAAUGUAAUGUGUUUCUGCUUUUGAUGGUUUAGCCAGACAAUCCUAACAUGAAAUUAUGGGAACAGAAAUGAAGGAAUAUAAA